rnacentral:ncRNA from 2 species
ACUCUCUUAAGGUAGCCA